AGUUGCUGUUUCCAUUCCCAGAGAGCAGAGCUCAUGUUUGGGCUUGGAGGGUGUUUCCCACUCAAUAAACAAAGAGUGGCCGCAACAGGACUGGGGCAAAACAGUGAGGCAAAAGAGCACGGAAUUAGAUGUCCAGAGACCUGGGUCUUAAUUCCAUCCUGACAACUACUACUUGUACGACCUUGAGCAAGUCCUUUGCCUUUCUACUUAUAAAAUGAGGUCAAAUGAGCCCCAGAGAGCUGAAGCAACCUGGUCAAGGUCACCCGGGUCCUGGCUUUAGAUUGACAUCUCAGUGCCAACAUGCCACCUCCCACAGGCUCAAGAAUUUGUUUCCUGCCCCUGAACAGUAUUAAAGCCUGAGCCUCUGUGCAAAUAAGACCAGCUCUAACACCAAUACCACUCUCAUCUGUGCUACUUCAGGUUUUCUAAUUCCGGAAGGCCCUCCAGAGGUGUACAUGCAGGUCACGGGGGUCGUUAGAGUAUCCAUGGCACCAUCAGUCAGCCUAAAAGACCUUACGUUUACAUCCUUGAUGCAUAGCUUGAAGCCUGACAGGUAGUAAUCAUUCAGUGCUUGUUGAAUGAAUGAAUAAAUUGAUUUGAACUGCUCAAGAGCCCCCUACUAAUCAAUGAUUUGGUGUGGGCUAGAGCCUAAGUCUUUAAUUAUCCCAAGAAGCCUUUAAAUCUUCCAACUCUGCUAUUCCAGCAGUCAUUUUUCUUCCACUCUUUUGGGGGACGAUGGAAUUUUUUUUUGCCAAGAGAAGGUUCGAGGUACAGGAUAGCAAUGCAUUCCUUCUCACCCCACUGAAUCCCACUGAGACACUGGAAUUGCUAUC